GACGAACGCUGGCGGCGUGCUUAACACAUGCAAGUCGUGCGGUAAGGCCUUUCGGGGUACACGAGCGGCGAACGGGUGAGUAACACGUGAGUAACCUGCCCUUGACUUUGGGAUAACAGUUGGAAACAGCUGCUAAUACCGGAUAUGAGCUCUCAUCGCAUGGUGGGGGUUGGAAAGCUCCGGCGGUCAGGGAUGGGCUCGCGGCCUAUCAGCUUGUUGGUGAGGUAGUGGCUCACCAAGGCUUCGACGGGUAGCCGGCCUGAGAGGGCGACCGGCCACACUGGGACUGAGAUACGGCCCAGACUCCUACGGGAGGCAGCAGUGGGGAAUAUUGCACAAUGGGCGCAAGCCUGAUGCAGCAACGCCGCGUGCGGGAUGACGGCCUUCGGGUUGUAAACCGCUUUCGCUCAUGACGAAGCGCAAGUGACGGUAGUGAGUAAAGAAGCACCGGCCAACUACGUG
rnacentral:rRNA from 1 species